CCCGCUGAACUUAAGCAUAUCAAUAAGCGGAGGAAAAGAAACUAACAAGGAUUCCCCUAGUAACGGCGAGUGAAGCGGGAAGAGCUCAAAUUUGUAAUCUGGCGGUUUUCAAUCGUCCGAGUUGUAGUCUAGAGAAGUGUUUUCCGUGCUGGACCGUGUACAAGUCCCUUGGAACAGGGCGUCAUAGAGGGUGAGAAUCCCGUCUUUGACACGGACUCCCAGUGCUAUGUGAUACACUCUCAAAGAGUCGAGUUGUUUGGGAAUGCAGCUCAAAAUGGGUGGUAAAUUCCAUCUAAAGCUAAAUAUUGGUGGAAGACCGAUAGCGAACAAGUACCGUGAGGGAAAGAUGAAAAGCACUUUGGAAAGAGAGUUAAACAGUACGUGAAAUUGUUGAAAGGGAAACGCUUGAAGUCAGUCGCGUCUUUCAGGAUUCAGCUUGACUUUGGUCUUGUCUAUUUCCUGGCUGACGGGCCAGCAUCAAUUUUAAUCAUUGGAUAAAGUCUUUGGGAAUGUGGCACCUCCGGGUGUGUUAUAGCCCUUUGAUGUAUGUAAUGAUUGGGAUUGAGGACUGCAGCACGCCUUUAUGGCCGGGGUUCGCCCACGUACGUGCUUAGGAUGCUGGCGUAAUGGCUUUAAGCGACCCGUCUUGAAACACGG
rnacentral:rRNA from 1 species